rnacentral:rRNA from 1 species
GAUGAACGCUGGCGGCGUGCCUAAUACAUGCAAGUCGAGCGAACGGACGAGAAGCUUGCUUCUCUGAUGUUAGCGGCGAACGGGUGAGUAACACGUGGAUAACCUACCUAUAAGACUGGGAUAACUUCGGGAAACCGGAGCUAAUACCGGAUAAUAUUUUGAACCGCAUGGUUCAAAAGUGAAAGAAGGUCUUGCUGUCACUUAUAGAUGGAUCCGCGCUGCAUUAGCUAGUUGGUAAGGUAACGGCUUACCAAGGCAACGAUGCAUAGCCGACCUGAGAGGGUGAUCGGCCACAUUGGAACUGAGACACGGUCCAGACUCCUACGGGAGGCAGCAGUAGGGAAUCUUCCGCAAUGGACGAAAGCCUGACGGAGCAACGCCGCGUGAGUGAUGAAGGUCUUCGGAUCGUAAAACUCUGUUAUUAGGGAAGAACAUAUGUGUAAGUAACUGUGCACAUCUUGACGGUACCUAAUCAGAAAGCCACGGCUAACUACGUG